GCCCUAUCAACUUUCGAUGGUAGGAUAGUGGCCUACCAUGGUAUCAACGGGUAACGGGGAAUUAGGGUUCUAUUCCGGAGAGGGAGCCUGAGAAACGGCUACCACAUCCAAGGAAGGCAGCAGGCGCGCAAAUUACCCAAUCCCGACACGGGGAGGUAGUGACAAUAAAUACUGAUACAGGGCUCUUUUGGGUCUUGUAAUUGGAAUGAGUACAAUUUAAAUCCCUUAACGAGGAACAAUUGGAGGGCAAGUCUGGUGCCAGCAGCCGCGGUAAUUCCAGCUCCAAUAGCGUAUAUUAAAGUUGUUGCAGUUAAAAAGCUCGUAGUUGAACCUUGGGCCUGGCUGGCCGGUCCGCCUCACCGCGUGUACUGGUCCGGCCGGGCCUUUCCUUCUGGGGAGCCGCAUGCCCUUCACUGGGCGUGUCGGGGAACCAGGACUUUUACUUUGAAAAAAUUAGAGUGUUCAAAGCAGGCCUUUGCUCGAAUACAUUAGCAUGGAAUAAUAGAAUAGGACGUGCGGUUCUAUUUUGUUGGUUUCUAGGACCGCCGUAAUGAUUAAUAGGGAUAGUCGGGGGCAUCAGUAUUCAAUUGUCAGAGGUGAAAUUCUUGGAUUUAUUGAAGACUAACUACUGCGAAAGCAUUUGCCAAGGAUGUUUUCAUUAAUCAGUGAACGAAAGUUAGGGGAUCGAAGACGAUCAGAUACCGUCGUAGUCUUAACCAUAAACUAUGCCGACUAGGGAUCGGUGGAUGUUACUAUUUUGACUCCAUCGGC
rnacentral:rRNA from 1 species